rnacentral:tRNA from 1 species
UGCGGGGUCGUCUAAUGGUAGGACAGCGGCCUUUGGAGCCGUUAAUCCUGGUUCGAGUCCAGGCCCCGCAGC